AUGGAUGGACGGGGACGACGGCAGCGGCGCCGGAUCCGCAUCCACCAUCUCUCGGUGGGGGCCAUGGACUACUCGGCGAGCAGCAAGCGGGCACUGGAGUGGGCCGUCCAAAACCUGCUCCGCCGGGGCGACACCGUCGUCGUCCUCCACGUCCAGCGCCACGGCGGGGAGGAGGCCAAGCACGUUGUCUGGGCCAAGUCCAGAUCCCCGCUCAUCCCUCUGUCCAAGUACCGGGACCCAGAGGUGAUGAAGAACUACGGCGUGACCUGCGAUGCCGAGGUGCUCGACACCACCGCGCGCCAGCUCAUGGUGGUGGCCAAGGUGUACUGGGGCGACGCCAGGGAGAAGCUCUGCGACGCGGUGGAGGAAUGUACGGCAAUGGGAAUGGUGAGCUGGGACAACCAGAUCGAGUCCCUUCUCUACAUGUUGGUUUUGCUCCCUUGCUCAACAGUAAAUGACAUAUCACAUUUUCAGAACGUACGAUGCAUCAAAAUUUGUGUGAUACCCUUUGUUUGUUAG
rnacentral:rRNA from 1 species